AAAAAGACAAAUCCUAAAUUUUCGUGUCCAAUUUUGACUGUCCGUCUUGUAUAAAUUUUUUUAUAAUUCGUAUUUUUAUUAUUGUUAGAUGAUAAAACAUGAUUAAUAUUUUAUGCGUGACUUAUCUUUCUAUAUUUCUUUUUAUAUUUUUUUCAAAUAAAAUGGAUGGUCAAACGUUGGACACGAAUACCAGAGUUGUCUUUUUU
rfam:Oryza barthii chromosome 10, whole genome shotgun sequence.